UGGGGAAUAUUGCGCAAUGGGGGGAACCCUGACCCAGCCAUGCCGCGUGAAUGAAGAAGGCCUUCGGGUUGUAAAGUUCUUUCGGUAUUGAGGAAGGUUGAUGUGUUAAUAGCACAUCAAAUUGACGUUAAAUACAGAAGAAGCACCGGCUAAACUCCGUGCCAGCAGCCGCGGUAAUACGGAGGGUGCGAGCGUUAAUCGGAAUAACUGGGCGUAAAGGGCACGUAGGCGGUUAUUUAAGUGAGGUGUGAAAGCCCCGGGCUUAACCUGGGAAUUGCAUUUCAGACUGGGGNNUACUNGAGGAGUUUUUUGAGGGGGGGGUGUANAUUUCCACGUGUAGCGGUGNNAAAUGCGUAGAGAUGUGGAGGAAUACCGAAGGCGAAGGCAGCCCCUUGGGAAUGUACUGACGCUCAUGUGCGAAAGCGUGGGGAGCAAACAGGAUUAGAUACCCUGGUAGUCCACGCUGUAAACGCUGUCGAUUUGGGGGUUGGGGUUUAACUCUGGCGCCCGUAGCUAACGUGAUAAAUCGACCGCCUGGGGAGUACGGCCGCANGGUUA
rnacentral:rRNA from 1 species